ACAAAUUAUAGCUUAAUUUAAAGCAUCUCGCUUACACCGAGAACAUCUCUGUUAAAAUCAGAUUGAUUUGA
rnacentral:tRNA from 1 species